UACGGGGGGGGCAAGCGUUGUUCGGAAUUACUGGGCGUAAAGGGCUCGUAGGUGGCCAACUAAGUCAGACGUGAAAUCCCUCGGCUUAACCGGGGAACUGCGUCUGAUACUGGAUGGCUUGAGUUUGGGAGAGGGAUGCGGAAUUCCAGGUGGAGCGGUGAAAUGCGUAGAUAUCGCUUGGAACGCCAAAGGUGAAAACAGGUUGCUGGGGAUGUGCUGACACUGAGACGCGAAAGCCAGGGGAGCGAACGGG
rnacentral:rRNA from 1 species